CUCUUUAAGUUUUUAUUUAAAGUAAAACCUGCUCAAUGAAUACAUUAAAUAGCCGCAAUUUCUGUGCUAAGGUAGCAUAAUCAUUAGUUUUCUAAUUAAAAAAUGGAAUGAAAGGUUAAACGCAACAACGACUGUUUCAUAAAUUCAUAAAUGAAUUUAAAUUUAAAGUAAAAAUUCUUUAAAUAGAAAGAAAGACGAUAAGACCCUAUAAACUUCUAAUAUUUAGCUGGGGCGGCUAACUAAAAAGACCUUAAUACUAAAUCAACUCACAGAUCAAAUAAAAUUUAUAAAGAUAAGUUACUUUAGGGAUAACAGCGUUACUUUUUUUAAAAGCUCUAAUAAAAAAAAUUCCUACGACCUCGAUGUUGAAUUAUAAACCAAUUUAAUGAAAAAGUUAAAUUAAGGUGGUCUGUUCGACCAUUAAAAAUAU
rnacentral:rRNA from 1 species